rnacentral:rRNA from 1 species
UGGGGAAUAUUGGACAAUGGGCGCAAGCCUGAUCCAGCCAUGCCGCGUGAGUGAUGAAGGCCUUAGGGUUGUAAAGCUCUUUUACCAGGGAAGAUAAUGACGGUACCUGGAGAAUAAGCCCCGGCUAACUUCGUGCCAGCAGCCGCGGUAAUACGAAGGGGGCUAGCGUUGCUCGGAAUCACUGGGCGUAAAGCGCACGUAGGUGGGUCGUUAAGUCGGGGGUGAAAUCCUGGAGCUCAACUCCAGAACUGCCUUCGAUACUGGCGAUCUUCGAGUCCGGGAGAGGUGAGUGGAACUGCGAGUGUAGAGGUGAAAUUCGUAGAUAUUCGCAAGAACACCAGUGGCGAAGGCGGCUCACUGGCCCGGUACUGACACUGAGGUGCGAAAGCGUGGGGAGCAAACAGG